rnacentral:rRNA from 1 species
UUGGCACUAGGAGCCGAUGAAGGACGUGAUAAGCUGCGAUAAGCUUCGGGGAGUUGCACGUAAACUUUGAUCCGAAGAUUUCCGAAUGAGGAAACUCACUUAGAGUAAUGUCUAAGUAUCAUUAAGUGAAUACAUAGCUUAAUGAGGGGAACUCAGGGAACUGAAACAUCUAAGUACCUGAAGGAAGAGAAAGAAAUUCGAUUCCGUAAGUAGCGGCGAGCGAACGCGGAUUAGCCCAAACCAAUGAAGUUUUCUUUAUUGGGGUUGCGGACAUAUCAUAACGAAGAGGUAUCGUAAUUGAAGAGGUUUGGAAAGACCCACCACAGAAGGUAAUAGUCCUGUAUGUUAAACGAGAAGACUUUAGAUAUGAUCCAGAGUACCACGGGACACGUGAAACCCUGUGGGAAGCAGGAGGGACCACCCUCCAAGGCUAAAUACUACCUAGUGACCGAUAGCGUAUAGUACCG